GUGCAGCAGGCGAGAAACUUCCACAAUGGACGAGAGUCUGAUGGAGCGACGCCGCGUGCGGGAUGAAGGCCUUAUGGGUUGUAAACCGCUGUCAGGGGGGGAAGAACAUCGGAAUGAACAAUACUCAUUCCGACUGACGUUACCCCCAGAGGAAGCUCCGGCCAACUCCGUGCCAGCAGCCGCGGUAAUACGGGGGGAGCAAGCGUUGUCCGGAAUUAUUGGGCGUAAAGGGC
rnacentral:rRNA from 1 species